rnacentral:tRNA from 2 species
GGGUGCGUAGUCCCAUAGGGGGUGGGAGCUGUCUGUAAAACAGUUGUCCGUAAGGGCCCCGUCGGUUCGACUCCGACCACACCCACCA